UCAUAUAGUUUGGGCCCAGACCCCAAAUUUCACGGGGUCCAAUUACAGUGUCAGGACCUGAAUGCUAAGAACGAGUUAAAGUUAGACCUCAAUCCGCUGCAGAAAAAAAACAUGUCAUUUAAAGACAAAGUUACAGUGUGUCUCCACCUCUCCAAUGUGAUUGCGGCCCUCAUGCUGAGCUUUUUCUGUGAGGAUGGAACAGCCUGACUCCCACCUCUCCCUAUUUCUGGCGUUUUGGCAUCCUGACAACUGGAAAACACAGGGGCCAGGGAAAUGAAAACCAAGACAAGUCCUGAGAAAAGUCCUCUGGCCCAAGUGACCACCAGAAGUCAAUGUGGAAAUGGAGACAAGCAGGGGAAGACCAUCUCACCCUAUAUGAACUGCGGUAUGUCGCACCACCAUGAUGUCCGUUCCCUACCUCAAUCAGCUUCAUCAGUUUUCUGCACGGAUGCCUGGCUGGACGCCUCAAUCCCAGAGUCAAGCUCAUACCCUGGGAACCCCACACCAUACCAGGCUUCCUGGAGGAAAGGCAGCGGAUGUUUCCAUACUUCCUUGUCCAUGCUACCAGAAACUGUCACCAUAGAAGAACACUUCCAAUCUCAUUAAUCCUUUUCCACUGGGCAAUUCAAUUCUGCAAAGGACCGCGAAGUCUCCCUUGGAGCUGUGUGUCACCAAACAACUGGCUGCCCUCUGCACCUUUGAGGGACUAUAUAACUCAAGUUCCUCUUCAGUAAAUCAAUGAGCAAUUAUUGAGCA